rnacentral:rRNA from 1 species
GACGAACGCUGGCGGCGUGCUUAACACAUGCAAGUCGAGCGAGGCCCCUCCUUCGGGAGGGUGUCCUAGCGGCGAACGGGUGAGUAACACGUGGGCAACCUGCCCUCAGCUCUGGGAUAACUCCGGGAAACCGGGGCUAAUACCGGAUACGACCUCCACGGGCAUCUGCGGAGGUGGAAAGUUUUUCGGCUGAGGAUGGGCCCGCGGCCUAUCAGCUAGUUGGUGGGGGAGUGGCCCACCAAGGCGACGACGGGUAGCCGGCCUGGGAGGGGGACCGGCCACACGGGGACUGAGACACGGCCCAGACGCCUACGGGAGGCAGCAGUGGGGAAUAUUGCGCAAUGGUCGAAAGCCUGACGAAGCGACGCCGCGGGAGGGACGAAGGCCUUCGGGUUGUAAACCUCUUUCAGCAGGGACGAAGCGAAAGUGACGGUACCUGCAGAAGAAGCACCGGCCAACUACGUG